rnacentral:rRNA from 3 species
UACGUAGGCAGCAAGCGUUGUUCGGAGUUACUGGGCGUAAAGAGUGUGUAGGCUGUUCUCUAAGUUUGGUGUGAAAUCUCCCGGCUCAACUGGGAGGGUGCGCCGAAAACUGGAGGGCUCGAGUAUGGGAGAGGAAAGCGGAAUUCCUGGUGUAGCGGUGAAAUGCGUAGAUAUCAGGAGGAACACCUGCGGUGUAGACAGCUUUCUGGACCAUCACUGACGCUGAGACACGAAAGCGUGGGUAGCAAACAGG